UUGUAAACUUGUUUAAAACAUGAAAGAGUCUGGAGCUUGUUUGUUUUGUGAAUGAGAAUCUGUUUGUUUCCAGCAAAGCUUCUCUGCGGUAAUUCGUCGAACACCCACUAUGCAUCAAAAACCAAAUCAUUGUCGAGUCAAGUCAACAGGCUCUUCUGCCGAGUAAAAAACCAAAUAAAAAGCUUGGAUUAUUUGAAGGAAUUUUUUGCUAACAGCUUGGGAAAACGUGAGCAACACAGGUGGGAUUCAACAAAGAGAUUAAAAUGGGAAAACAUUAAAAACAAAGAACCCAAAUCAAAAUCGUAGAGAACCUGCAGCGCAACUAAAACUCCUACUCCUUCUAAAGAAAUUAAAUCCUGCUCUUGUCGACGCCACAUACACAACUCCUGCAGCGCAAGUAAAUCAAAAUCGUAGAUAACCCACGAGUGAUUCGAAGAAAAUCCAAAGAGUUACAACAAACCUAUAAAAUGGGCUGAGAGAAAGAGAGAGAGAGAGUGGCUGCACUUGGAGAGAGAGAGAGAGGUGGAGUGAAAUUGGCUGGGAUGGAGAAGUUGAUUUGUAGUGAAAUCGGCUGGGAUGGUGCAGAGAGGGAACAUCCCAUCUCUCUGGUUGUCUCAAAA
rnacentral:lncRNA from 1 species